CUAGCUACUAGCUGGGCAGCUGGCGAGGUCGGGGGGCCCCCUGCCUCACCAGAAGUUCCCGGACCUCAAGCUUCACAGGGAAACAGCGAGGCUGAGAACCCUGAAGGCAGCACACCAGCCAGGACAGUAGGCGUCUUGGAGGACACAGGUUCACAUGAUUGUGGACACAGACUCACGGACCCUGAGGAGAUGAGAGAGGUGCUAAGAGCUGUCUUUCCAGAGAAGGAGAAAGAAACAGCAGGCAAACGUGAUGCAGACACGAGGUGGACAGUAAAGCUAAGACUGGUUGAGGCAUGGAAGAUCUGCACCUGGGCCUACAUUCCCCAAGUGGUUAGCUGGAGACCAGAGGUGGCUUCUCUCCAUUUCUCCAUGGUCCUCACCUUUCCCAGUUGUCUCACUGAUCCUGAGGCUGUCAGUUACCACCAUCAUCAUACUUACAUGGUUUUGCUGGUGGAGGAGAACCAUUUAUCUUUAUUCUUCUUGUAGUAAAACCCAGAAAAAUGAAAAACAAAUUGAGAGUAUCAGCCAUUUUCAGAA